GAUAGCUCAGUCAGUAGAGCGCGAGACUCUUAAACUCAAGGUCACAGGUUCAAGCCCCAUGUUGGGCA
rnacentral:tRNA from 1 species